UGUGUAGGCGGUUCUUUAAGUUUGGUGUGAAAUCUCCCGGCUCAACCGGGAGGGUGCGCCGAAUACUGAGGGACUCGAGUGCGGGAGAGGAAAGUGGAAUUCCUGGUGUAGCGGUGAAAUGCGUAGAUAUCAGGAGGAACACCGGUGGUGUAGACGGCUUUCUGGACCGUAACUGACGCUGAGACACGAAAGCGUGAGUAGCAAACAGGAUUAAGAUACCCGUGGUAGUCCACGCCCUAAACGAUGCAUAUUUGGUGUAGGGUCAUUCAGUUGAUCCGUGCCGGAGCUAACGCGUUAAAUAUGCCGCCUGGGGAGUACAGUCGCAAGGCUGAA
rnacentral:rRNA from 1 species